rnacentral:sRNA from 1 species
GUGGGUGUCCCCUUUCUCCCUCAAAUCCCCACACAUAGAUGGCCCUCCUAAAGCUGUGUGCUGAAAGAGGUUGACCACUCUCAAGAGACGAGGACAGUUUCCUCCAUUAAGGGUAUACAAGUAGUUGCGCUUCCUUGCUAGAACCUCCAGACAAGCUCUCAAGGAUGCUACUGUUAUAAUGACAAUAGCUUAGACUUAGAAACUAAGGUAGAUUACUCUUGAUAAUCAGCUUGACUU